UGAUGUUAGCGGCGGACGGGUGAGUAACACGUGGGUAACCUGCCUGUAAGACUGGGAUAACUCCGGGAAACCGGGGCUAAUACCGGAUGGUUGUUUGAACCGCAUGGUUCAAACAUAAAAGGUGGCUUCGGCUACCACUUACAGAUGGACCCGCGGCGCAUUAGCUAGUUGGUGAGGUAAUGGCUCACCAAGGCAACGAUGCGUAGCCGACCUGAGAGGGUGAUCGGCCACACUGGGACUGAGACACGGCCCAGACUCCUACGGGAGGCAGCAGUAGGGAAUCUUCCGCAAUGGACGAAAGUCUGACGGAGCAACGCCGCGUGAGUGAUGAAGGUUUUCGGAUCGUAAAGCUCUGUUGUUAGGGAAGAACAAGUACCGUUCGAAYAGGGCGGUACCUUGACGGUACCUAACCAGAAAGCCACGGCUAACUACGUGCCAGCAGCCGCGGUAAUACGUAGGUGGCAAGCGUUGUCCGGAAUUAUUGGGCGUAAAGGGCUCGCAGGCGGUUUCUUAAGUCUGAUGUGAAAGCCCCCGGCUCAACCGGGGAGGGUCAUUGGAAACUGGGGAACUUGAGUGCAGAAGAGGAGAGUGGAAUUCCACGUGUAGCGGUGAAAUGCGUAGAGAUGUGGAGGAACACCAGUGGCGAAGGCGACUCUCUGGUCUGUAACUGACGCUGAGGAGCGAAAGCGUGGGGAGCGAACAGGAUUAGAUACCCUGGUAGUCCACGCCGUAAACGAUGAGUGCUAAGUGUUAGGGGGUUUCCGCCCCUUAGUGCUGCAGCUAACGCAUAAGC
rnacentral:rRNA from 1 species